rnacentral:rRNA from 1 species
CUAUAAUGCAAGUCGAGCGGACCGACGGGAGCUUGCUCCCUUAGGUCAGCGGCGGACGGGUGAGUAACACGUGGGUAACCUGCCUGUAAGACUGGGAUAACUCCGGGAAACCGGGGCUAAUACCGGAUGCUUGAUUGAACCGCAUGGUUCAAUCAUAAAAGGUGGCUUUUAGCUACCACUUACAGAUGGACCCGCGGCGCAAUAGCUAGUUGGUGAGGUAACGGCUCACCAAGGCGACCAUGCGUAGCCCACCUGAGAGGGUGAUCGGCCACACUGGGACUGAGACACGGCCCAGACUCCUACGGGAGGCAGCAGUAGGGAAUCUUCCGCAAUGGACGAAAGUCUGACGGAGCAACGCCCCGUGAGUGAUGAAGGUUUUCGGAUCGUAAAACUCUUUUGUUAGGGAAGAACAAGUACCGUUCGAAUAGGGCGGUACCUUGACGGUACCUAACCAGAAAGCCACGGCUAACUACGUGCCAG